UAGACAAACUGUUCCAUGAGUAUAUUAGAUACGGUUACCUAUUUCGGUUAUGGUUUACUUUCCUAUCUAGCAGAAGCCUUGUAAAUAACAAUUCUGUCGGAACCAAUGCACAUCAACCAGCAACGGCAUCGCUCGGGAAAUUUAAACAGUAGAACAGAAUCGAAUGUACACUAGGAGGGGGAAAUAGCGUCCUGAUUAGUGCAGUUACUCGAAGUGAUGUACGGGCUGCAUCUUUCAACUGUAGUGCAUAGUGCGGACGCGAAAUUGGUUCCAGGAAAGACCAAAGAGAUUGGUUUUGUCAACUACUUUCACUCCCCCAUUGCCUGGAAAUAGUUCAACACGACUGCCGCUGGAUGUGCAUUUUCGAAAAGCAGACAUUUGUUGUAGUACGACCUUAUGAAGUAAAUAAAUUUCAAAUAUUCUGUACUA
rnacentral:lncRNA from 1 species